ensembl:lncRNA
AUGUCUUCCUUUCUUGUGACAAUUGACAUGCAUGUGACCAUGCCUGUGUCUGUGGCGACGGAACAUAUGGUGGUGGUGCCCGUAAUGUCCAUGAGGUCCAUGAUGUCCGUGAUGCCCGUGAUGGUGCCCACGUCCAGGCCCACACCCACCACCAGGACACAUUCCCUGUCCAGGCCCACACCCAGCACCAGGAUAGGGGCCCUGUCCAGGCCCGCAGCCAGGACCAGGAUAGGGGCCCUGUCCAGGCUGGGGAGGAAAUGGUUGGGAAGGGUAGUUUUGGGGAGGAACAGACCCUGGUGGAUAUUGGGGAUAUCCUCCUUGCAUUGGUGGUUGACCGUAUCCAGGAGGAUACUGGUUUCCUAAACAAAGAACAAAUCACUUAUUGACAAUUGCUGACUAAGUACAAGGAGGUUAUUUUAGUAAACAUCUAAAAAGGACCAAAGGAUGAAUAAUUAAUUUGUUUUACCUCCAUUGUUCCCAUACAUUUUCAAAAUUCCCAAACCAAAGCCUGAAACACAAAGUAGCCACUUAAAUGUUCACAGACUGACAUAAGGAAUCCACUACACGUCUAUAACACCAUGUUCUAAACAGACAGAACAGCUGCCGUCAAACAGGUUGUGCAGGUCAGAAGUGACAUUGUGGAUCACUCAAAUCACAAACCCGGAUAAGAGGAUCUACUUUAACCCCAACCCAUGAACGAAGACCUGGCCAUAAAAUGAACUUUACACACAACUACACGUAAACAAGACACCACAGGCCAAGCUAGGAUGGUGUUCACUUACCUUGUGCCGAAUCACACACUAAUGAAUCCAGCAACCAGGUGACUCUACUUUUAUACGAGGCCACACCUGAAACCCGGCCCAUCAUCAGAGGAGGGAGGGGCUUUAACUGUCGCUUCCUUCCAGGUGCAGGCUUACGUUUUGACGAAGAGAAUUCGUUGGCUUUGGUCCGAAUCAGUUGAUGAAUUUGUAAACUUGUAGCAAGUUCUCAUUGGUUUGGUUCCGUUUCACACACAGAAAAAUCCAAGAGAACCAAGACUCUUCACUUCAAACCACGUGAGAACGUUCUCUCCGCUGAUUGGUCAGAUGUGUCCGUCUCUACGCGGCAGCAGAAAAGUAAAUACUGUACAGAAGGAAGGUCCCGUGUUGUGUGGACCCAUUCACGUUUCCGUGACAAUAGAGACAGUUUUACUGCGUAGGUCAACCUACGUGCAUUGGUCCUCGCCCUGCUGAUUUUUUAUUACAUUUCCUGCAUUUACCAUAUAACGCAAAUCUUUCAGUUUGAAGCGCAAUUACAACUGGAAAACAAUAUAUUGAUGGACUGGAGUUGCCAUAUGGCAUGGCGCAAAUCAACGCAAUACGGGAGGUGGUGUGUUAUGUUAAUCAGCCGAAGAUUUUACCGAAUCAUGUAAUUAUGAUGUGAUUUGGUUUGGUCCUGAUUUUGGACCGCGUUUAAAUGAGCUGCUGUUUGCUUUUCCGUGGUCAAAUUUCGAGGUGCGCGAUUCGUGCGAUAGUUAAGGUAACACUGUUGCGAUCACCGAGAAGAGCGGAGACACUCUGAGCAACUGAGGCGAUAUUGGGAUUAGCAAAUUUAAGAAAUUAUGGAAUUUACAGUGAAUGUUUUUAAAAAAUAUAUAUUCACAGAUGGAAAUGUAAAAAGGUAAUUUGGCCUCUAUUCUAAAACUUGGAUUUGAAUAAAAUGAUUUCAAAUUGGUACA